UUAAGCACCUAUUAUUAUUAAACCAGUUAAUCAAAGCUCUUUCAUAUAUAAACAUCACAGACAUAAUACAUAUAAAUACAUAGAAGAUAAAGGACUCAUUUUCCAAGCCAGAAAUUGCACCAGAAUUUGAACCAGAAAUUGAAUCCAGCCACCACUGUGAAAAGAGAAAGCGAGUUGCCACCGCCAACUCGUGCACCUUGUUCUUCUGCCGCUCCACCGUCCUACUCCUCCGCCGGUCGCAAUGGAAGAGAUCGCCAUGCUCCUCAUUGACAAUGGCUCCAGCAUGUGCAAAGUUGGCUUUGCUGGGGACGACGCCCCCCGAACCGUGUUUCCCUCCAUCGUCGGAUGCCCCCGACACCAGGGCGUGAUGGUGGACAUGGGCCAGAAGGACUCCUAUGUGGGCAACGAGGCCCAGAGCACGGGCAGCAUCCUGACCCUGAAGUACCCUAUUGAGCAUGGCAUCGUCACCAACUGGGACGACAUGGAGAUCUGGCACCACACCUUCUACAACGAGCUGCCCGUGGCCCCAGAGGAGCACCCGGUGCUGCUGACCGAGGCCCCCCUGAACCCCAAGACCAACAGAGAGAAGAUGACUCAGAUUAUGUUUGAGACCUUCAACACCCCAGCCAUGCACGUGGCCAUCCAGGCAGUUCUGUCCCUCUACACCUCUGGGCGCACCACUGGCAUUGUCAUGGACUCUGGAGACGGGGUCACCCACACGGUGACCAUCUACGAGAGCUACGCCCUCCCCCAUGCCAUCCUGCGUCUGGACCUGGCUGGCCGGGACCUGACCGUCUACCUCAUGAAGAUCCUCACCGAGCAUGGCUACAGCUUCACCAUGGGAAAUUGUGCACGACAUCAAGGAGAAGCUGUGCUACGUUGUCCUGGACUUUGAGCAGGAGAUGGCCACCACCGCAUCUUCCUCUUUUCUGGAGAAGAGCUACAAGCUGCCCGAUGGCCAGGUUAUCACCAUCGGCAAUGAGCAGUUCCGGUGUCCGGAGGCACUGUUCCAGUCUUCCUUCCUGGGCAUGGAACCUUGUGGCAUCCAUGAGAUGCUUCAACUCCAUCAUGAAGUGUGAUGUGGACAUCCGCAAAGACCUGUACGCCAACACGGUGCUGUCCAGAGGCACCAACAUGUACCCAGGCAUCGCCGACAGGAUGCAGAAGGAGAUCACCACCCUGGCACCGAGCACCAUGAAGAUCAAGAUCAUUGCACCCCCAGAGCGCAAGUACUCGGUGUGGAUCGGCAGCUCCAACCUGGCCUCACUAUCCACCUUCCAGCAGAUGUGGAUAAGCAAGCAGAAGUAGGACAAGUUGGGCCCCUACAUCGUCCACUGCAAAUGCUUCUAAAUGGACCGAGCAGAUGCAUAGCAUUUGCUGCACGGGUUAAUUCAGAUGUAUAAACUUGCCCUUGGCAAAUGCAUACACCUCAUGCUAGUCUCACGAAACUGGAAUAAGCCUUCGAAAAGAAAUUGUCCUUGAAGCUUGUAUCUGAUAUCAGCACUGGAUUGUAGAACUUGUUCCUGAUUUUGACCUUGUAUUCAAGUUAACUGUUCCCCUUGGUAUUUGUUUAAUACCCUGUACAUAUCUUUGAGUUGAACCUUUAGUACAUGUGGCUUGGUCACUUUGUGGCUGAGGUAAGAACGUGCUUGUGGAAGACAAGUCUGUGGCUUGGUGAGUCUGCGUGGCCAGCAGUCUCCAAUCUGUGCAGGGUAUUAAUGUGUCAGGGCUUGAGUGUUCUGGGAUUUCUCUAGAGGCUGGCAAGGGCUCCUGAACCAGUUGUUUCUGUCCUGCGGGUCUGUCAGGGUUGGAAAGUCCAAGCCAUAGGACCCAGUUUUCUUAGCUGAUGUUUUCUGCCAGAACACCAUGGGCUGUUACUUGCCUUGAGUUGGAAGCAGUUUGCAUUUACACCUGUAAAUGUAUUCAUCCUUGUAAUUUAUGCAAGAUUUUUUUUGUAUGCAAUUCUCGAUUCUUUAAAGAGAUGACAACAAAUUUUGGUUUUCUACUGUUAUGUGAGAACAUCAGACCCCAGGAACACGUCAUUGUGUAAGGAAAAAUAAAAGUGCUGCUAUAACC